UGGGAUGGCCCCCGGCAGCCUUCAGAGCUCUCAAAGCCCCGGGAUCCCCGCAGGAGCCCCUCAGACCCCUGGGACCCCUCAGAGCCCUCAGACUUCUCGGGCUCCCUGAGGUGCCUUGGAGUUCCCAGACCCCUGGGGUGCCUCAGAUCCCUCAGACCUCCUAGAACCCCCGAGGGCAUCUCAGACUCUCGGGGCCUCUUAGAGCUCUCAGACGCUCACGACCCUCUGAGAUGCCCUGAGGCAGCUCAGUCCUUCCCAGACCCCUCAGACAUCCAGGCUUCCCUGAGGUACCUUGGAUCCCUCACAACCCUGCGGUGCCUCAGACUCCUCAGAUCUUCCAGGACCCUCCAGGACUCCUCUGAACCCACGGGGACCCCCUGGGCUCCCCCGGACCCUUCGGCCCACCGAAACAACAGAGACGUGCCUUUGGGCCAGUGAGGCGUUCUCUCAGGUGUCCCUGCGGGCUGAGAGGAGCCCUUUGCUCAUGAGGACAAGGGCAGAGGGACCCCGUGGUGUCAUCAAGGACCGUCUUGUCCUCCGCAGCGCGCUGAGACGGGACAGGUAAAAGAAUAACAACAAAUACAUUCCUAGACAAAAGCCCUGGGGCUCGAGAACAGUUUGGUUGGCAGCAUCAACAGCCCAGCAUUAGGUAGCACUGUACCGGAAAAUUACCUCCUCCUUGCAGCACAGGCGGUUUGAAAGAGGCGGUUUUUGAAAGAGGGAUGGUGUCCUGGGCUGAUGACACAAUUCAAUUGCGAGGGGCAGUACUUCACCAGGCUCACAGAGGGAACCUGACAAAGCCCCACUGCAAUUUAUACCGGCAGCAAUGUAGGUAUUUAUAUGAAAAAUCUGGGGAUGGACUCAGCCAGCUGUUGCUGCUGCCUUUUGCAGAGAAGUCAGAGCCAUGCUUACGGCAGGUAGGUCAUGUCAUCAGGCCUUAGGCCCCUGGUGCCUGCCAAGGAUGAAGAUCAGGGAAGGGAGAACAUCAGUGUUGGAAGUUGGUGGGAAAUCCACCCCAGGCAGCAGUGCCUCCUGACUUAAGAAGGAGGAUCCAUAAUGCUGGGUGUUGGGAUGUAGUCUAUGAUGUAUUCCAGGAAGAAGUUGCUGUCUGAGUUGUGCAGUGAAGUUGAAGAGAUGUUGCUGGUAAUGCUGCGGGGUCUCUGCAAGGUCUUACUGGGCUGCACUGCCAGCAGGUGUGAUGUGGAUCUCCUAUGAUUGCUCCUGAUUUGUAUCAGUGAGGUCAGGAAGGAAAAUCACUAAUAAGCCCCUCAUCCCAGCAAGUCCCUGGAAAGGACUGGUAUUGGAAAGCUAAGGCUUUAAGACCUACUUGGCUGGAGGUUUGGUCAGUUGAUUGGCUGGUUGGUUGGCUGGGGUUUUUGGGUUGUUUGGUUUUGGGUUUUUUGUGUCUUCCAUCUCCCUCACUGGCUCCUUGCUCUGGUCUUGUCACCAACUGCCAGAAUCAAAGAUGGUCUCCAAGGGAAGGAAGUGAAGCGUUGACAAUGGUGAGGACCUGUUUGCUUCAGGAUUGUUCCCAACAGCCUGUUCCUGAUGGUGUUACUCAGCCUCCUUCUGAGUGCCUCAGAGACAAAAGGGCACCUUUAUCCAUGGCAAGGAAGCUCUCAAGUGGCAAGGUUUUUGCUCAUAACCUGAGCUCUAAGAGCUUUGGGUGGAAACUGGAUGGGAAGAGAAUGUUCCAUGUCAGAGCUGCACACAUGCCUGUGUCCUCCUCUCCUGAGAGUGUGGAUGACUUCCCUGUCCGCAGACAUGCUGGGACAGUGUCUGCCAGUGCCCUCUCCAACCUUGGCUGGACAGGCAGUUAUGGCCCCAAGUGCUUUGCCUUUAGUGACUGGUCUUCCCUGUGGUACGUCCUGCUGGACUCUUUGCUUGGAAAACACACUUUGGGGUUGAGGACAAGCUCCUUGUACAUCUAGACUGCUCCUGAGGUGCUGGGGGAAGAAAAUGCCUACUGUACUGCGUAGGAAUGUGUUUGGGUCUUGGAGUUCUCUGUUCCAAAAGGAUUUACAGGAUGAUUCCUUGCCCUGCUCUACAGCUCUUGAGAUUUGGAACAAAGGGAGUGGGGUUUACUCAGAAAGAACAUGUUCUCUGGGGUAGCUGAGCAGCAGUCAUUUUGGGACUGCUCCAAAACUGUUCUGGAAUUGGGAGAGAGAACUGGACACAGCACUCAGAACACUAAACUGGUUUUGCAUACCGUCUUUGGCUCUGAAGACACAUUUAUUGCUUUUAUUCCUCUGUGAUCCCAGUUGUCACACUGUUGUGCUGCUGUGGGUGCAAGCCAAGCAGACUUCACUUAGUCUCUUCUGUCCUGUACCUCCCAGAACUUCACCUGGUCUGAAAGAGGACUGGCUGAGGGCUUUGGGAAUGGGCCUCAGGAGAGAUGAUGCCUUAAAUGCAAGGAAAAGGGAGAGUGAAACUCUUAGCUGGAAAUCUUGCUCACUCCCCAGUGCCACAUUUGUGGUUCUGAACUGCCUUCCCAGUUGCUGGCAUGCUGGAUGCAGCAGGAAGCAAAAAUGCUGCUGUUAACGGUGCUGGGAGUCAGAGGGCCCAUGAAACUCCCAGUCUGGCUGAUGCAAACCUCCUCCUGCCGGCGGAGCGAGUGAUUCCACAAUAACCCUGGAUUGCUGCAACGGCAGCUUGGCAGGUGGCUGUGGAGCAACGAGGAGCUCUCAAGCUGUGGUGGAACACUGCAUGGCAAUGAUGUAACAGCCACAUCCCACCCGAGCCCGUGCGCUGAACAAAAAGGACCAGCUUCUCCACGGGUGUAAACUGGGGGAGCGGCACCGACCACGGCGGCCGAGGCCUCAGCCCUGGGGCUGCUCACCCACAUCUCGCCAUCAAUCUCUGCAGGGCCAUUUGGAGAUGAACCUGUAUUUUACCUUCUGCUGCUUGUCUUAAUUGAUUUCUAUUUUUUUAAAAAUUCUGUUUGUUAAUUCACGUAGUGUCUUUGGCCGAGCAAUUAUAUGCAUGGCCAUAUUGUGUGACUGCAGCAGUCUGGUGCGGCGCAAGGAGCGCCACAUCAUGUGAGACGUUUCAUCUCCACGAGUAACCUCGGCACCGUGGCAAAUGAAUACACCAGCACAGUACAGGCAGGAGAGAUGAGACGCAUUGACCGCUGCCCCUGCUCACCAGAGAAAUGUCAUUCUUUCAGAAUUUUUUUCCCCCCUUUCUUGUUUUCCCGACACAUUUUGGUCCCCUUUUCGCUUCUCCCCUUUUCCCUUAAGUAGAGAUGACACAGAUCAAUACCUUUGAUGGAAAGUAAUAAUCAGGCCUAUUAAGUGACAAAGGUUUACUCUGUAACAGCUGUGCUGGCGGGAGAGGAGAGCUUGUCUGACUAAUGAAUCAUGAAACAAUCA